CCAGUUUGAGUGAGCCACAGGGGUGUGCUUCUGCAGCCAAGUUGAAGCUGUUGUCAUAACCUUGGGCAGAUGACCAGAGAAAAUACGAAGGAGGAGGCCUCCCUCCUCCACCUCUCCGCCCCCUCCGGGCUUGGCUCUCCCAGGAGGCUACGACUGGAGCCACUGGUCCCGCAGGGAUCCCCGCGUCCUCGGUCGCCGCGUCCACGUCCCUCUCGCGUCCCCGCCCGGCGCCACGCCGCCUCCUCUGGGUUCGGCCUCCGCGCGGUGCAGCGCAGUCUCAGGCCACGGGACAAGGUACGUGCGCGUCCCCGGGGCACACAAGCCCACACAAGCCCGGGCCCCGCUCCUCUGAACUCCCGCGUGUGUUCUGACUAUGGCAAAGAAGGUCUUUGCCGCGUGCACGG
rnacentral:lncRNA from 1 species